rnacentral:lncRNA from 1 species
GUUUUGAAUUGCAUUUCUCUGGUGAUUAGUGCAGUUCAGCACCUUUUCAGAUUCCUGUUGGCCAUUUGUGGAGUCUCACUCUGUAGCCCAAGCUGGAGUGGCGUGAUCUCGACUCACUGCAACCUCCGCCUCCUGGGAUCAAGUGAUUCUCGUGCCUCAGCCUCCUGAGUAGCCGGGACUACAGGUCACAGAAUUUUCCACACUCCUUGACAGAGGUGCUUAACCCUUAUCCAUCAGCAUUCUCAGACAGCACCUCCGGUUAGGGACAGUAUCUGACCGUCCGACAUCCCUGCAGCCCCCAUGUGUCACACAGACUCAGCCUCAGGUAGAUGGUUUCCGUAGAUGGUGGCUUUCUUUGGACCCUUGACAUCAACCAGUUACUAUUUGCAGGGCCACACAUAACAAAUAGAAGCAGAGCAAGCCCUGGAACUCCUGCCUGACAGUGACACGACGACAGAAACAUCUUACCAGUCAGAGGACCAUGAGAAAUAGAUUCAAGGAGCAUUCCACGUGCAAGUGAGUCUUGGCCCCAUCUGCCUUUGGAUUUUAGCCGUGAACUGGAAGGUAUUGGAAAGAAGACCCUCAGAAAUAGCUUAAUCAAAAUCCCUGCGUCUGAACCAAGUGCCUUAUUUCUCUGUGGGCCUCAAGCUUCGCUGACAUCUGUGGAGCACACUGUCCUAACAGGAGUGCUGUCUGAUUUCCCAACGCUCUGCAAAACAAACAGCCUGGAAGGGUGGCUGGUGGAAGGUGGUUUUUAGAGAGAGACUUGUAGAUAACAGGAAAGUGAAGGCUGUAAGGAAGGUUGUAAUUAAACAGCACAUGGAAACACAAUCACAUUAUUGUCCCAUUCCAUAGGGAUAAUGAUGACCACUUCAGUGGGAAAAGGAGAGGUUUUAAGUCAUUAGGGACUAUGGGCCACCUUUUAGGAAGAUUUAUUUUCAAAGGUUAAAAUAGUGUUUUGGCAAUUCAAGUUUCAUUUUCAGAAAAUGUAAUUGAUGGGAACCUCAGUGACUCUGGAUGAAUAAGAUGCUGUUGAGUGGCUCUGACUUGGGCCAGCCGUGCUUCUCACAGGACCUUGGAGACCAAGGUCACUGUGAUCUCAGGUUCAGGGGGCAAGUCCUCUCCACACAGCCCUAGUUGGCCUCACAGCUGAAAAUGUCUCCCUUACUGUUGGACUCCUUUGUUCACCCACAUGAGUUUGUGAAUAAAUCCUUUCCAGUCUGAAA